GUGUUUGUGUAUGCUUAAUCUAUAUGUUGAAGCCCUAAUCCCCAACAGGACAGUAUUAGGAGGUAGGGCCUUGGGAAGGUAACUAGAAAGCAGAGCCCCAAAUGGGAUGGUGCCCUGAUAAGAAGAGAAACAGACACCAGAGUUUUCUCUCUCUGUCAUUAGAAGACACAGUGAAAAGAGAGCCAUCUGCAAGCCUGCAAGAGGGUUCUUACCAGACGCUGAAUCUAUCAGUCACUUAAUCUUGGAUUUCCAAGCUCCAGAACUGUGAGAAAACUAGAAGCAGCAGCAUCACCUGUCCCUCAUGGCUGUUGCCAGGAUCUUCUGGUGAGGGUGGAGCUUCCCUGGUGGCCCAGCAGUAAAUAAUCCGCCUGCAAAGCGGGAGAUCUGGGUUGGAUCCCUGGGUUGGGAAGAUUUCCUGGAGGAGGAAAUGGCAACCCACUCAGUAUUCUUGCCUGGAGAAUCUGGUGGAGAGAGGAGCCUGGUGGUCUACAGUCCAUAGAGUCACAAAGAGUUGGACAUAACUGAAGUUACUUAGCAUGCAUGCACUUGUGAGGGUGGGAUUGUCUGGCACAACAUAGAUUUUUGAGCCAGAGACCUUAGGGUUCAACCUCAGGUGCCGAGGCCCAGCCUCAGCAGAGUCCAGGGAUAUCCUCAGUAUGGACGACGUCAGCGAAUGAAGAAAGAUAGAUAAAGAGAUAUAGAAAGAGACACGGGGUGACCAAGCUUCUUCGAGCGAGGCUCAUUUACUUUAUUCUUUUCGGGGCUUUUAUACCCUGAGUUAUACAUACAGCAAGGUGAAAAAUGCAGAGUCAACUCAACAUUCCAUCAGUAAUAACUUUUAUGGAUAUCAGGUUCCUUCUUGUAAAAGUCUUAUUUUCUGUACAUCAUCUUCUAUUCCGGAGGCCUGUUGAUAUUCCAUGACCUCCUUUUGAUAAAGGUUGGUCAGCCAGAACACCAGAACAAUGAUUUUUCCUUAAGGUGUUUUUUCUUAAAUUCUUAGCCUGCGUCAACCUUAAAGUACAGAGUUACAUUUUUAUGGAGCAAAGAUUCAGCAGGUUACAGCAAAGAAAGAACUUAUUAACUCAAAGUCUAAUGUUGCUAAUGCUAAGGCUAUUACUUGCUUCUUUUACAUCCUGACUAUAAGCACUCCCAGGAACACAAUGGAUAAGGGAUGUGAGAACUUGGCAGCAAGCAUUGCAUAGGCUCAACAAUGUUGCAAGAGUCUGGAUAAAGCUGCCAAGUAAGCUAGAAUGUUAACAGAGGGUUUGAAACACUCCUUUCAUGCCCAGGAGAUUUAUCAACUAGAGCCCUAAGUUAAUUCUUUUGGUCAGAGACAGCCCCUUGCUAAUGUCAGAAGAGCUGGUGAAAGACAUAAAAUAGUAAGACAGACAGAUUCUGGUUCGGGGGUAGAUGCUCGAGCAGGUCCAGGGGGUCCGUUGAGUCCUGAGGCCUUGCUCAUCAGGACUCUUCCGCAUGACCUUGUCAUGGGUGGGAUCUCCCGUGCUGGCUCCCGGUACCCAGGGAGCCACUGUCCCUCUGCUGAUGCUGUUGCUUCUGACCCUCCCCCAGGUCUUUCUCUUUGAGUCUGUUUGCCUUAGGACACAUCAAUUUUUCCUCUACUUCUUUUCUCCAGGACUCUGAGAUGCUGAUGACUCAAGGCCAGGGCUUGUAAUUACCUCUUUUUUC
ensembl:lncRNA